rnacentral:rRNA from 1 species
UACGAAGGGGGCUAGCGUUGCUCGGAAUCACUGGGCGUAAAGCGCACGUAGGCGGCUUCUUAAGUCAGGGGUGAAAUCCUGGGGCUCAACCCCAGAACUGCCCUUGAUACUGAGGAUCUUGAGUCCGGGAGAGGUGGGUGGAACUCCGAGUGUAGAGGUGAAAUUCGUAGAUAUUCGGAAGAACACCAGUGGCGAAGGCGGCCAACUGGUCCGGUACUGACGCUGAGGUGCGAAAGCGUGGGGAGCAAACAGG